GAAACGUGAAGUAGUUGGGUGGUUGAUUGAGAGAGUGGACUGUGUUACUUCUCUGCUUUGGAUAUUCAGCAAGAAGGAUCAGCAUGUGGUGAUGUAUUUCUCUCUACCCAAGAUAUAGGGUAUUUCCAUCUUCUCAGUCAUAUAUUGAAGAGUCACCCUCAUGCAGUCAAAAAAUAGGAUGUUUUCAGUGUGGAACAUAUUGUCGGCUAUUCAGAGGACUUCGCAAGCACAUUUGCUCACCAAGCAACAUGGAUCAGCAGGAUCUGGAAGAUAAACGUAGCAUUGCCACCAUGUGAAAGGCUGAAUGGACAGUUAACUUCUAAAUUUCAAACCAGAGUUUUCAGCAUGAUCACUGUCUCAAAAGGUGGAUCCAAACCAUCAAGAAGGAGAAAUAGCAAGUUCCUGAUGAAUACAAAAACCCGUAAGGAGUUCCCUAAGAUCCCAGUAGCUACAAUGAACAUCGAACUCUAGCUCCAAGAACUGACCGAAAUGAACAGCGAAUGGGGGUAUCUCUGAGACAGACAAAGACACCUACACUACUGUGGUGGGAUGCCAAAGUUACAUACUAUGUGAAGAACAAGACACCAGGAAAAUGGGGAGAGAAGUCUCCAAAGAGAGAUGGGACUUACAAAUGGUAAGCAUAUCCCUGUAUUAAAGAACUAGACAUAGCCCCAUUUUUUUUUAUGAUAUACGUUCAGCACUUACUAUGUGCCAGGCACUGC